UCUGUAUACUCCGGUUAGCAAUUACUCAAUUUCUAAAUUAGUUGACGAUUUAUUCAAUAAUUGAUUAAUCACGAUUAAUCGUUUCAGCCUUACUCUUUAUAUGGCCCAGAACCCAGAAUAUGGCCCAGAUUUUUUUUUUUUUUACCUUUCCACUGUGUAUAAUGGACACCGGACUAUAGAUGUUUUCCCAACCUAGCGACCCGUGGCUAAAAUAAACAAUUAUCUGUGUUAUGUCUUGUCUAAAUCAUGGGAAAACUCAAAGUUAAAAACAUUUAAUUCAAAAUUCAUAGAAACUGUUAACUUAAGAAAGUUCAACCAAACCAAAUGUUUCAGUUAAACUUGCUAUAAAUGGAUUGUUAGCAAUGGAUUGUUAUGUCACCAGUGAUUUUGUGAAAAACAAUUAUUUUCGAACGUAGGAUGUCGUCCCCUCUUAAGUAAAUGUGCUCAAAUUAAAGGUUUUACUUCCUAAACUUUUUCUGUGACCAUAUACUACUGCUUUAAAAAAAAUAUUUAUAAGGUUUUGUGGUCAUCUUUACCAGCAGCGUCAAUAAAAGUGGCUGGCGCUGUCAGCAAUAUUCAGGCUCUUUAGAAUAGAUUCUUUUUCUUAAAAGGUAAAUGUCUACAGCCAAGCUGUUCAACUAUCACUGCUGUCAUUAAAUAUAUAGCUAAUCGAUUAGCUUGCAUGCUGAACACUACUGUAGGAUUUGAAAUUCCUCCUCAGAAAAACAAAACAGGGUAAAAAGUUAUACAAGUAUUACAGAAUCACAAAUAAAACCCAUUGGAGAGGAGAAGCGAUCCCAGAAACGUCCGGAAACUAAACUUUGGAUCAACCGGCAGUUAAAUGACUUUGAAAUGACUCUGUUACAACAGAGCUGCUCCGUGUGCGAGAACCACCAAGUUUAGCUCAGCACAGCCUUCAAACGGAUCAAACGCGGGACGGGAGACGUUGGCUGAUCCGGCUGAAAUAUGGAUGAGCUUCUAACAGCCCGGUGAUGUAGACGUUCAUCGUCUAAGUGGAGGAAAUGAAACUUUUCUGAAGUGCCGCAGCCAGAGGUCAUCGACGUAUCUGCUGAAUUUUAGGAGGCACUUUUCACCCACAGCAGUUUUGUGAAUGGAAACGCGGCCGUAGCCUCUACGCUGCUACAGAAAUGACAACAAAGCGCAGACAGCAGAUGCAUGACUCAGGAAGACGCAGGUUACAUUUUAGUUCGGUGCCACGGCAGGAACCGGCCCCCCCUGCAUUUCUGAAAAUGAUGCAGCAUGCAGCCUGUUUUGCACUCGACAUGAGCGUUCUUCCACAUUUCAUCCGCCUCGUUCCUAAAACAUCCGUGUGAAAGAACUGAAAAAUGCUGCGGGGCUGAACUGCUGUGUCAUACUUGCAGCCUUUACAACAUCGUCUUCUUAAAGAUGCUCUACAGUGGUUAUUUUCUUUUUUCAAAAUCGCGCAAAAACAAUACAACCAAACAUUCACCGGGACAAGGCAAACACAGCUGAGCAAUCGAGUAAAGAUUUCAACUGGAGGAUUUCGCAAAGUAAAACGAGCAAAUUCCGGUUUGUGCGGAUCUGGGGUCGAUGACAUCACGAGAGGCACGAGAGCCGAGCUGAUCAGACGGUUUUUAGUGAAAAAAAGACGCCAAACAAAACAUCUGAUUUGGCCAAAUUUGAACUAAAAUGGCUCCGGUUGUUGACCAGUGACUCAAACACUCCCAAAAUAGAUUCAUUUUUUGGCUAUUUUUUAAAAUAAAUCAGCAGCAAAUAAUCUAAAAAAACAGCAUGCACUUUUAUCAGUUUAAUAAAAAAUAAAAACAAAUCAGGGGUUGAGGAGAGAUGUAGCCAUCCUCCAAUGAAACAUUUCUUGGCUGAUGCCACGUUUCAUUUAUUCCGCUGUUUUGACCUGCUGAUUAUGAUAGGUUUACAAUACAUAGGAAAUUAAAAGAUAAAGACAUUAUUACGCGUUGGGGGUAAUCUCUACUGAGGUAGGGAUUUUAAACGCAAAAUCCGUUUAAACAAUUACAAGACUAGCAAUGUUUAUGCACUAAACCAUAUGUCCCUCUUAUCUGAUUUUUAAAUCAAACAACAAAAAAGAAUAAAAUAAGAGCACAUACUUCGAGUUGAUGUGCUUGUAGACAGAAAAUGGUGGGACUUAUUAGUUAUUAUGCAUUUAAAUAAAGGAAAAAAAUCUAAAUUAAACUGCAGAUCAAGUGAAGAUCUGCAGCUCUGCAGUAGCAUAUUGUCCUGUUACAAUAUGUAACAGGACAUAUUGUUUCAUGUCCUGUUACAUUCAAAAGUAUUUAUUUUUCCUCUUCUGUGUUACAGUAGUUUGUUAGGAAGAAAUUUGAAUGAAUUCCUUUCCAGGGCAGACCUACAAGUUUUGUUGUUGUUGUUUGUAUUUUUUAAGAUAUAAAAUUCCCAAAAUUGUUAAUCGAUUUUGGCUUGAUCUCAUCUUCUGAAAAGGGAAUUUAAUUUUUUUUUUUUUUAAAAAAGACAAAAAUCUACGUACAAAUUGAAUUAAAUUAAUGGUGAUCAGCUGCCUUAUGUGACGUCACCAGAGACUUGGGUGCUUUGAAGUUUGACUUUUGUAUGGUAGCUUUUAUCUCCAUUAAAACGUUUUACAGCCAAAUGGGCAGGAGGGGGGGACUGACUCUUACAUGUAGUUUUUAUGAUUUUAUGAGUGACAGGCUGUAUCUAAAAGGAGGUUGGAUGAUUUUACAAAAAAGUCUGAGUUGUAGCUUAAAAAAUGUAUAUGUGUUGGUCCUUUUUAUUUUAUUUUUUUUUAAUUAGUGCACUUUAAAAAAAAAAAAAAAAAAAAAAAAAAUCUUCUUAUGCAAUGCAUUCGCUGCAUGAACGCAACAGAUCAAACCUGUGUUGCUGAAAUCCGCUGCCAUGCUGUCCGGAUUACCCGGAAGAUCCCCAGGAAUGUAUAUUUAAGUGGAGACUAAUACGAAUCUGUUCUAGUUCAUAAAUAAAAGUAGAUUUUUUUUAAAAUAAUAAAACAAAACAGCACUGUGCUGCGGCGCCUUGAUUGAGAGCCAUUACAGCCAUGAUAGCAGGGCCAGGCUUUCACUGCGGCGGCGAAAACACGAACACAGCCCCGGGUAAACAACAAAUAAUCAUCUUUAUUUCAGCCUCUGCUCUCUAAAAUGUUCCCAUGCAGCGGUCUCGUAACAAACCGGGGUGUCGUUGAGUAAUUGUAGUGGGGGGGGGGAAACGAGGAAAAUGAGAAUUAUUCUAAAUUUCUCCUCCAAAGUUUUGAAUUAAAGGGGGCGUGUAACUCGCUUCUCCAACAAACUACAAGCCUCAACUGAAAACUAUUUUCUCUUGUGAACAUUCCCAGCGCCCCUGAAAUGUUCUCCCACGGCCUGCAAAUGAUGCGGGAAAAUAAAGGUCGGUGGUAGGAAAAUGUGUAUGUUCCGACAUGAGUUUUUCCCUCUGGAAGUCCCUCCGAAGAAACUUGCGUUUAUUUCCCUUUAAAUGCGGGGAAAUUAUCAUGACAGGCGCGGGUCCUCGCGAGUCGUUUCGAAGGCAAAGAGCGCCAUACGUGUGGAGUCCGUGUUCAAAGCGAGCAGCUCGGUGUUGUAGCGCCAGCGGCACGGCCUGAACCGACACCAGGCCACGGAGCGCAGAGGACAACAUCCAGCCGCGGAGACACGGCUCGCUUCUUACCUGCUGAUUUUAUCUUAUGGCGCUGAGCAGCAUGAAGCUAGCCGCGGCGCAGCACAGCACAACUUCCGGCUGUGCCUUUCGGAAUAAAAGUCGAGUAUUUUGCAACGUUUUCCAAAAAAAAAAAAAAAGUGGAGCUGUGUUAAAAGAUUCUUUUAAAGAUCUGUCUGCUAUGUCUCUCACUCCUCUUUCUCACUCUGCGAGUAAAUGUCCCUGGUCUAACUUCCCCGGCAUGUUUGCUCGGUGAACUCCAGAAGCACCGCGGCAGCCAACAUGUCGUGGCUCCUUCUCCGAGGAAUUUUCAAAUCCUUCCCAUUGUUUAAGCUGACAGGACAGCUGCUCGGGCCUCGUUUCCUGUCAGUCAAGCAGUCGCAGCAGCUUGUUAGUCGACAAGCGCUCUCUUUCUGCUGCAUAUGCAGUUAUUUAUUUAUUUUCCUGAGAAGUGAAGGAUUUCCAGGUUUAGGUUUAUUUAUUUUUCACAAUGCUUUAUUAUUUAUUCAUUUAUAGAUUUUUUUUUUUUGGUUGUUGCUAAUUUUGGAUUAAAAAUAACGACAAUUUGUUCGUGCAUGCCUGACUAAGUCUGGGUAUAUGUAGCUAUCUUGACAUAUAUUCUUCCAUACGGUUGAUUCUCAAAAUGAUUCUUGUGUUCGUUCCUUCCAAGUCAUCUGAGAAAAUGCAGAAACUAUAAUGCGUCUAUAUGCUGGCGCGUUCCAAUAUACAGCUGAUGCAGCGCAUCCAUCAAACAUAAUAGAAGAUUAUAUACAGCAUAUGUCACUGACUCUGUCAGUGAAAUUGUCAACAUCAAAAUAUGAGUUAUUAAUAAGUAUUUGAUGUAAUCUGUAUUUAUACGAGAGGUUGUGAGAAUCCUUGUGUAACACAUUUGCUUUGAAUUACUGGAAUUGUUUGGUUCAGUCUAGUUUUAAGAGAAUUUAGCAGAAUCUACUUUUGCGUAUAGGUAUUAUUUGCAAUUACGUGCAGAUUAAAGUGUAUACGUUUUUUGCAAUUCAUGACUGGAUUAGGACGCAGGAGCUUUAUUUAGUCAGUCAAACUCUCUGCUAAAUAAUAAAUUGUAACAAUAAUUUAUGCAGCUCCGAGACUGUUUGCAAAAUUGCGCAGCAUGUGAGAUAUUGAUGUGAUGAGAUGUCGCCAAAGAGCCCAAGAAUAAGAACCAAUAUUUUCAGCUGCCGUAUUAAAAAGGUAACUUCUGAUGGCUUUGUUUUAAAUAAUUUUUGUGUGUGUAAAAAGCUUUGAGUCUGGUUAAAUUAAAAAGAUUUUUGUUUGUUUAAAAAAAUAUAUAUAUCAGGGAGUUUCUUGUACAGUCUAUAAAAGAAAGGAAUCAUGUAACAACAUGCAGCAAAUAAAUAAAUACUUUAAAUUGAUUGUCUGCCAUGUGUAAUGAAUCA